UACAGAGGGUGCGAGCGUUAAUCGGAAUUACUGGGCGUAAAGCGUGCGUAGACGGUUAUUUAAGUCAGAUGUGAAAGCCCCGGGCUCAACCUGGGAAUUGCAUUUGAGACUGAAUAGCUAGGGUACGGUAGAGGGAAGCGGAAUUUCCGGUGUAGCGGUGAAAUGCGUAGAUAUCGGAAGGAACAUCAGUGGCGAAAGCGGCUUCCUGGACCAGUACCGACGUUCAGGCACGAAAGCUAGGGGAGCAAACGGG
rnacentral:rRNA from 1 species